UGCACCUCUGCUGCUGUGGUCAUGCUAACUCAGCAGUGGGUAUCUCCUGUGUCUUUCUCUACAGGGUCCCCCAAGGUCUGACAUUUCCAGUGGUCCAAAAAACUUCUCCACCUUGUGCAUUGGAAAAAACCCAACAGUGCCAGCUACAGAGUAAUUGCAGCUCCAGGAGAGGUCACAGCACACAUGCACCCUGCUCAGAAAGGAGACCCAGGACAAAGGCUGAGGAACAACAGGAACAAGCGCAGGAUGCUCUUAGGUGCAAACGGAAAGGCAAAAGCAGUUGACAGCCGCAUGGGAUUCUGCUGCAGACCAUCAGGAGCAGCAUGGGACAGUAACUGCUAAUCUGCAAAUCACCACGGUGUCGCCUUGGAAAAGAGGGAGAAAGGAAGAAUGAAAGGUGCUUUGGCCAAUUCUCUCCAAAACUCUUACCAGCCACGGUUCCUGCAGUCAAAGGAGAUGACUCCAUUCUCAUCUGGUAACCACUUUAUUCCUGAAGGGAGCAGCAAAAGGCGCAAUCAACACACAGACAGGCAGGCAUCUGUUCCCCGCUCCCCAGGCACCCGCACUUCUGCUGUUCACUGCUGAGACCCAGCUACACCACAGGGGCAUGCAAAUCUGGGCAGCAAUAGCAGCGGCCAUUCUGCAGAAAUACAAGCAGACCUGCAUGGUCUUUGGCAGUUCUCAGUAAAUUGUUUAUUAAAUUUCUAUUAAAAAA